GACGAACGCUGGCGGCGUGCUUAACACAUGCAAGUCGAACGAAAAGGCCCUGCUUUUGUGGGGUGCUCGAGUGGCGAACGGGUGAGUAACACGCGAGUAUCCUGCCCUUGACUUUGGGAUAACUUCAGGAAACAGCGGAUAAUACCGGAUAGGAGCUCCUGCUGCACGGGGGGGAUUGGAAAGUUUCGGCGGUGGGGGAUGGACUCGCGGUUUAUCAGCUUGUUGGUGUGGUAGUGGCUGACAAAGGUUUUGACGGAUAGCCGGCCUGGGAGAUUGACCGGGCACAAUGGUACUGCGGGAGGGCCCAGACUCGAACGGGAGGCAACGGUCGGAAACAUUGCGCAAUGGGCGGACGUCUGAUGCGGCAACGUCGGGAUCGGGAUGACGGGCUUCGGGUGAAAAACAGCUGUCGCAGUUGACGAAGAGUGAGUGACGGUAAUUGGUCAAGAAGCACCGGCUAACUACGUG
rnacentral:rRNA from 1 species